rfam:Neotoma lepida isolate 417 scaffold_815, whole genome shotgun sequence.
UUUGGGGGCGGUGUUUUACCGACUGGACUGAUUCUUCUCUGCCGCUGCCCUGCUCUUUAGCUGGGCUUUUGAGCCUCCGAAGUUUUCCAAGUAGAUUCGGAAAAACGAAAACACAGCUCGGGAAGCAUCCACCAGCUGAGUCUUAUGCCAGUUUGCCUCUGGCAAUGGUUGGAUUGCUGGUCCGCACANCAGCCAAGACCAGCUCCACAUUCCUCCCUCCCCCUCAUUUCACUGGAACCGGGAGCCCUGCACUCAAAGGAAGGGCCUCAGCUCUACAGACUGCCAAAGUCGGCUGGGUCCCUCCACUCCAAAAAUGGUGAGAAAGGAUCUCAUCUUUUCCACAGAGGAGCCAGAAACAG